CCACUGCUGGUCAUUGGACCUGGUUCAUGGUGCCGUCGAGCCUGCUUUUCUAGCCACGAGUGUUGUCGGUCGAGGGGAGAAGCUCCCUUGCUUUGGGGAAAAGAGAAAAGGGAGUUCUCCUCUUCCGUUAAAGAAAAUCAUGGGAAGAAAAUAUGAAGAAGAAGAGAGAAAAAGAAAAAGAAGAAGAAGAAGAAGAAGAAGAAAAUAAGAA
rnacentral:lncRNA from 1 species